AUUAUAGAAACCAGUGAAGGGCCUUUGAUGUGUAGACUCGCCAUAGCUCCAGUUACAAUACUGUAUGUAUACAAAUUAUACUGACAUAAGAAUAUCAACUGUGUUCAGGUACAUAUGUGUGUUAGUGCAUACUGUAUUACCACAUGCUUGUAACAUGAUGAUAGAUAAUGGUAUGAUUCUAGACUUCUAGUGGUAUUGUCGAUGUUUGCAUUCUUCACCAAUCAGUGCUUUAAUACACAAGGACCACAAUUGACUCAAAUAUGUAAUAACCUAAAUAAAUUGCCUUGAGGAUAUACACCUGCACCAUCAUAGACAUUAGAGUAAAUGAAAGGGAUUGGAAACUACCGUUUGUCACCUCUGGCUAGCGUCUGUAUCUGUCUGCAUCAUAAUGUAUAAAUACCAUAGUACAUACUACAAAGUAUUGUACAGUUUGUAUCAUAGUACCUGGUAACUCAAUGACUGCAUUUACCAUAUCCUGACUCCUCCAUAGUGGUUGUUGUGCACAAAGGAUCUCAAAGGAAUAUUGUGUGAGUAAUGCAUAAAUCUUACUGAUGAUAUACCUUCCUUGCCAUGUAGAAAGUUUGGGGCUACCUAUGUCAAGGUUUUGCAACCAUCAGUUAUGGGUAUAAUUAAGUUAUGGAUGUACAUGUAUUUUUUAAUUAUUAUUUCUCUUUGUACAGAGUGUUAAUGAGGAGACCAUUACCUGUUAUAUGCAAGUGCAUGUAUAUGCAUGUAGAUAUAAUAAUACAUUAAUAUAAUGUAUUAUCACUAUUAUGAUGUGCAUCUGUAUGCAGCUAAAUAAUGAAGAUUUGAAAUAUGCUGAGUCAUUGCAAGAGAUCAAUGAACCCCUUGGAAUUGUAUGAUGAGAAACAAUACUGAGAAUAAACCUGUAAAAAUGUUUAUUUAAGGACUAAGGAAAGAUGCAACUGAUGAGGAAGUACAAGCAAGUCUUCAGGAUUUACUAAAAAUUAUCUGCAAGAUUUUGUAUCAUAGUGGAAUGACAAGAGUGCAUUUCUAACACAAGAAGUAGAUCUAACAAUAAUAGCCAAGCAAUACUCUGUUACAAUAAUACAACAGUCUCUCUUAAGUACAAGAAAGCAGCUGCCAAUAUUUUAUUAAAAGUGCAAUCAGUCAUGAAGUAUUGUAACUGGAACUAUGGCGAGUCUACAUUUCAAGGCCCUUCACUGGUUU